rnacentral:lncRNA from 12 species
GCAGCGGGAGUCUCAGCCAUAGCAUUCCCCAGGUUGGCUUUUGGGACCAGGGAACUGGGAGACCUAUCCAAGCUGCAGUCGUCCUUUGCUGCCUCUUGCAAACAGUAAGAACCUGAAAAUCAGGCCUCAGAGCAUUCCCGGAAAGGAGGCUGGUGUCCAAACCUCUGGAGAGCCCUGGCUCCGAGGUCACACCCAGGGGAAGAACAAGGCCUAGGUCUCCGUGUGCUGUUGCGACUGCAGGAGAGGCGCCUUGGCGGGUGGGAAGCUCAGGAUUUGCAAGACAGAGACUGCGGUUUGAGGUCAACGGUGUCCGGUGGAAGCAUAGACGCGGCCAAUGUAAUUGCACUUUGCUUCCUGGGCCUGCAGGAAAACAACCACCAAAGCUCACAACGUGCAAGGCCCGGGCUUCAGCCUGAGUUUGGCUCCUGCAAUUUCAGGGCCUUGUUCCUGCAGGACGAUCUUUCUUUGGAGUCCCACAGCUCUGCUGGUCUCCCUCCAGCCGUGCCCCAAGCCAGCGGAAGGGGAACUCGGGGUACCAGCUGAAGGCCUGGCUUUGGCAUUUCUCAAAGCCCCUUCCUGCCUGGAACCAGCCCGCACCCCUUCUCUGCAGCUGUCAAAGAUCCCCCAGCGGCAAGGGUCAGUCAGACCACGUGGCAUGCAGAGAGCCUCUGACCUGGAAUGUUGUUUGCUCAUGACUGUGAACUGAUCCGGGGUUCGGAACUUGCCAGGAAUCAGGGACUUCCUUCUCAUUAACCAGGAAGGGUUGACUGUCACUGUGGGCCUUGACCUUGGAGAGGUUGGGAAGUGGAUUGUGCAAAAGCGAUGCUGCCCUGGGACCCUGAGUGGCUGAUGGAGUGCUGGAGAGAUGGGAGGAGCUCCGGGCUUGGAGUCUGGGAAGGAGUGCUCGCCACCCGGGCAGCAACCUGUGACGGGAGGAGACAGUGUCUCCAGCUGUGGACCAGAGGUUUGUCCAGGCAAACACAGGUGUCAUGCUCUAAAAAAGUGGGUGCAAAAUAAAUAAAUAAAUAAAUAAAUAAAAAUAAAAAUU